rnacentral:lncRNA from 13 species
AAUAAAUGAAUGACACUAAAUUUGGUUCAGGACUCCAGCACUGCAGGAGGCGAUAAGACACCCAUAUUAGUUUACACUUUUUUUUUUAUCUAAAGAAGGAAGAAAAGGGACUAUUUUAAAAUGGAAAUGGCUUCAGUGGUGCUGGCCAUACUGUCACAGACACCAUAAUGGGACAGCUACAAUGUUGUGACCUCUAUACGUCUCAGUGGGUUCACAUCAGAUAAGUGCCUUCGAUUGCAUGUUUUCUGAUUGGACUCUCUCAAAACGGUUAAUGCCACAGCUACCAAGUUGUUAGCGGUAGAUAUAUUUUCAGUAAAAACUCUUAUUCUGUUCAACAUCCAGAACUCAGUCAUUUUGAAAUGAAAAUAAGAACACAACAAAAGGGAAUGCUUUGAUUCACAUAAAUCUCAAGUCUCUUGUUUUUCAUUACAAACAUAGUAGAAGCUGCUGUGUUCGCUCAUAAAGAAUCAUGGGCUGCUUCUGCUGUGUUCGCUCAUAAAGAAUCAUGGGCUGCUUCUGCUGUGUUCGCUCAUAAAGAAUCAUGGGCUGCUGCUGUGUUCGCUCAUAAAGAAUCAUGGGCUGCUGCUGCUGUGUUCGCUCAUAAAGAAUCAUGGGCUGCUUCUGCUNNNNNNNNNNGCUGGGCGGUGGGGGUGGAUGACGCCCUCUACAGGUGACAAGCAACAGGACAGUAUGAGAUGUGAGCUGCCUAAACCUUGCAGGUUAGAAUUACAUCCAUUCAUAGCGACAGACAGGAGAGUGAGACAGACAGGAGAGUGAGACAGACAGGAGAGUGAGACAGUCAUGGUUAUUAACUAGAACUAGCAGAGAGCAGCAGGCAAGCCUGGAAAAACCCAGAGUUGAAAAAACUAACGAAAUGAAAGAGGAACGAAAGAGAGGAAGAAAAAGCAAGUUAGAGAUGACUGUUAGAGGUGACUGUUAGAGGUGACUGUUAGAGGUGACUGUUAGAGGUGACUGUUUUGGCGGCAUCGUGAGUUAGAGUUGACUGUUAGAGGUGACUGUUAGAGGUGACUGUUUUGGUGGCAUCGUGAGUUAGAGUUGACUGUCAGAGGUGACUGUUUGGUGGCAUCGUGAGUUAGAGGUGACUGUUAGAGGUGACUGUUAGAGGUGACUGUUAGAGGUGACUGUUUGGUGGCAUCGUGAGUUAGAGUUGACUGUUAGAGGUGACUGUUAGAGGUGACUGUUAGAGUUGACUGUCAGAGGUGACUGUUUGGUGGCAUCGUGAAGUUCCAGACUCACAGUGAUUUGGAGGUGGGCAUCUUCACUUUUGGCCACUUUCUGCGUUGAAACUGCCUGAUGCACAAGCAGCAAUAAGAUAGACUGUUAUUCAGCCCGUUNNNNNNNNNNUGUUCUCUCUUUACAUGUAGCGGAGACAGUCACACUCCUCUGGGCGGGCCUUCUUCAGAUGACCCCUGACUUCUCUCAGAUUCUUGAUCUUGGUCUGCAGGGUCUCAAUCUGAGAGAUCGGCAGGACAUUAGAUUAGACAGAGAAAUGUCACAACACAAUGAUGUGGUCCUCUACAGCUGAGUUGUUAGAGAAUGGUGCUUGCAGUGCUAAGAUAGUGGAUUCGAGUCCCAGUACCACCCGUUCAACGAACUCAUAAUUAUACAAUCAAUGAUUUCAUUAGCAGCUAUUAUGUGACCACUGAAGAUCAACUGCAUUGAGAAAUAAAGCAUAAUUGUUUUGUGGUCAUAUGUGGGUUAUGUGAGUGGCUGAGGAGGCUGGCCUCGUGGUCGAUGUGGGUUAUGUGAGUGGCUGAUAAGACUGGCCUCGUGGU